rnacentral:rRNA from 1 species
UACGAAGGGGGCUAGCGUUGUUCGGAAUCACUGGGCGUAAAGCGCACGUAGGCGGAUCUUUAAGUCAGGGGUGAAAUCCCGAGGCUCAACCUCGGAACUGCCUUUGAUACUGGGGAUCUCGAGUCCGGGAGAGGUGAGUGGAACUGCGAGUGUAGAGGUGAAAUUCGUAGAUAUUAGGAAGAACACCAGUGGCGAAGGCGGCUCACUGGUCCGGUACUGACGCUGAGGUGCGAAAGCGUGGGGAGCAAACAGG